UACGUAGGUGGCAAGCGUUACUCGGAAUCACUAGGCGUAAAGCGCAGGUAGGCGGUUCGGUAAGUCUCUUGUGAAAGCUCCCGGCUCAACUGGGAGAGGUCAAGGGAAACUACCGGGCUAGAGUGUGGCAGAGGAAGCUGGAAUUCCCGGUGUAGCGGUGAAAUGCGUAGAGAUCGGGAGGAAUACCUAUGGCGAAAGCAGGCUUCUGGGCCAUCACUGACACUGAUCUGCGAAAGCUAGGGGAGCAAACAGG
rnacentral:rRNA from 2 species